AUGGCAUUUUAUGUUCUAGUAUUAGGUUAAACUGGUCUUCCAUCUACAAAAAGGUGCGAUUUCAAUCAGAACAUUGAAAAUUAGAGUUAGGUUUCUCAAUUCUCAUUAGUUUACUACUUUUGUUUUAGGGAUUCCAUAUUUACGAAGUCUAUAUUCACUGGUGGUUCAUUUUUAUGACUGGCUAUUCAAGUACAAAGAGGGUGGUGCUUCUUAGAUCAAGUAUGAAAAACGUUAUUUUCGAUCUCGAUGUUUUUUUUUUACAUGAAUGAAGAGUGUGAGUUAUAAUUUUCAUGCUUCUGGUGCGAGUUAUAAUUUUCAAGGCAGAAACAGAAACAAGGAGCAACACCAAGAAAACUGACUGUCUAAGCAACUCUGAUGCUAGAUGAGUAGAUUUAGCAUGCUGCUAUUCUACUUUCUUUGGUCAAUGCUUUUUGAAAAUUUGCUGGUCUAUGUUCUAUACCACAAAUCAUUUUUCUAAGAAACUUUUCAGUUUAAUGUGGCCUAGCAAAACACAGUUUCAGUUUCAACUUUGUUCAAUCUAUGCUCUCAUGCUUUAUGUACUACAUUAAUGUAAAUUAUGUAAAUUUUUCCAUAUCCAUCCAGCAAUGGGCAUGUCUGAAACGUGCAUAGCACGUAGCCUAUGAAUGGCUAAAUUUUGGACUAAUGUUUCGUCACAACUAAUUUGGGUUCUUUGGAUGACACUGCAUUAUGCAUGCUUGUUACUUGUGUGGCUUUUCAGUGGUAGCCGGUGCUUAAAUUGGGAUAGUUUACUGGUUUUAGUGGAACAUUAUUAGCAUAUAUGUUGAGCUACUAAAGUCAUGGUUAGAAGUUUAUAAGGCUUAAGUUUUGAUUGGUAAGUAUUGCACAAAUGAUCUCUUGACUAAGGACGUGGCAAUAAAUGAAAGAAGAAGUGGAGGAUAGAGUUCUAUUAAGCAGCUUGGGUGUCACAUCUGCAAACCCGGAAAAUAUUGAACUCCAUAUAUUAGCAAAGUGUCAGCUAAAUCCAUUGAACUUUGCUUGGAUCUCAAGAGUAAAAUUGAAAAACAUGUCCGGGUGCAUAGCCUUGUCCAGAGCCAAAUCUUUCCUUGUAACCUCCCUCAGAUAAGCUUCUUCCAGAUUUGCAACCAUUGGAGCGGCAUGCGUUCACUCUUGUGUUGGAUCUUAACGAGACUUUAGUUUACUCUGAUUGGAAGGUAUGCUUUUAUUGUUGAAGGAACUGUGUGUACAAUCAGCAAAAGAGUGAGUUCUUUUUUGAGGGAAAUUAGGCAAAUAAAAAAAAUUUCAUCUUUCAUGGAUGGACGUUGCUAAGAUCAUUUCAUUUAGCAGCAAUAUUGCACCCAUUGAUUCCAACUAUAACUUUUCCCCAUUGUGCAUUUUUUUUAAACGGGGUGGUUUUGUUUUUAGCUGAGGGUGUGGACAACACGCCGUUUUAUCUUGAAAAUGGAUGGAUUGUUUCUAAAGAUGUUCAGUUAACAUAAAUCAAACAGACCAUGGCAUACAUAUUAUGUGUUUUUUGAGAGUAGUUCACUUUUUAUUCAUAGAUUUCUGGUCAAUUUCUCCUUUCCGUCUGAUUUCUGUAUUAUGUUGAUUCUAUUCUUAAAAGGCUUGUGUUGUGCAGAGUACAUGUAUCAAACUUAUUACGAUGCAAUUGUACAAUGUGGUUAUGUCGAAUAUGAAUUAUUCUGGCUGGACUCAAAGCUGAAUAGAGAUCUUUGAAGAAUUCUGCAUGUGAGUGGACAUGCAGCUAGAAUCCAGCCUCCACCUGGAGAAUUGUGUUCCUAUCAAGCCGUGAAAACUUGAAGCAGAUGAACAGAGAUCUUAUUCAAUUUCAGGAUUUCAGGUUGGGUAAUACACCUGAGGCUUCCAGUCAAGAUAUGAUCCUAUUGCUAAGUGGUCGUUGAUUUUAUGUCCUGAAUUAAGUAAAUG